GCCCGGCUGGCUCAGCUGGAAGAGCAUGGGACUCUUCAUCUUGCGGUCAUGAGUUUGAGUCCCAUGCUGGGCA
rnacentral:tRNA from 1 species